rnacentral:rRNA from 1 species
UACGAAGGGGGCUAGCGUUGCUCGGAAUCACUGGGCGUAAAGCGCACGUAGGCGGACUCUUAAGUCGGUGGUGAAAUCCUGGAGCUCAACUCCGGAACUGCCUUCGAUACUGAGAGUCUCGAGUCCGGGAGAGGUGAGUGGAACUGCGAGUGUAGAGGUGAAAUUCGUAGAUAUUCGCAAGAACACCAGUGGCGAAGGCGGCUCACUGGCCCGGUACUGACGCUGAGGUGCGAAAGCGUGGGGAGCAAACAGG